rnacentral:rRNA from 1 species
UCGCAAGACUGGUGAAGACCGAGUGGCGAACGGGUGCGUAACACGUGAGAAACCUGUCCCGGUCUCUGGAAUAACAGUCGGAAACGGUUGCUAAUACCGGAUGCCGUCGGAGCGUCGCAUGGCGCGCUGACGAAAGGGCUACCGGAUCGGGAGGGUCUCGCGGCCUAUCAGCUUGUUGGUGAGGUAACGGCUCACCAAGGCAUCGACGGGUAGCUGGUCUGAGAGGAUGAUCAGCCACACUGGGACUGAGACACGGCCCAGACUCCUACGGGAGGCAGCAGUGGGGAAUCUUGCACAAUGGGCGAAAGCCUGAUGCAGCAACGCCGCGUGCGGGAUGAAGGCCCUAGGGUUGUAAACCGCUUUCAGCAGGGAAGAAAAUGACGGUACCUGUAGAAGAAGGUGCGGCCAACUACGUGCCAGCAGCCGCGGUGAUACGUAGGCACCAAGCGUUGUCCGGAUUUAUUGGGCGUAAAGAGCUCGUAGGCGGUUCGGUAAGUCGGGUGUGAAAACUCUGGGCUCAACCCAGAGAGGCCACCCGAUACUGCCGUGACUAGAGUGCGGUAGGGGAGUGGGGAAUUCCUGGUGUAGCGGUGAAAUGCGCAGAUAUCAGGAGGAACACCAGUGGCGAAGGCGCCACUCUGGGCCGUAACUGACGCUGAGGAGCGAAAGCGUGGGUAGCAAACAGGAUUAGAUACCCUGGUAGUCCACGCCGUAAACGUUGGG